rnacentral:rRNA from 1 species
UACAGAGGUCUCAAGCGUUGUUCGGAUUCAUUGGGCGUAACGGGUGCGUAGGUGGCGCUGUAAGUCGGGUGUGAAAUCCUGAGGCUUAACCUGGGAACUGCAUUCGAGACUGCAUUGCUAGAGUAUGGGAGAGGGAAGUGGAAUUUCCGGUGUAGCGGUGAAAUGCGUAGAUAUCCGGAGGAACCCCAGAGGCGAAGGCGGCGCCCUGGCUCGCACCUGACGCUCAGACACGACAGCAUGGGGAGCGAACGGG